rnacentral:rRNA from 1 species
ACUCAAAUGAAUUGACGGGGACCCGCACAAGCGGUGGAUGAUGUGGAUUAAUUCGAUGCAACGCGAAAAACCUUACCUACCCUUGACAUGGUACAGAUUCUUCAGAGAUGAAGAAGUGCUCGCAAGAGAAUGUGCGCACAGGUGCUGCAUGGCUGUCGUCAGCUCGUGUCGUGAGAUGUUGGGUUAAGUCCCGCAACGAGCGCAACCCUUGUCCGUUGUUGCCAUCAUUUGGUUGGGCACUUAACGGAGACUGCCGGUGACAAACCGGAGGAAGGUGGGGAUGACGUCAAGUCCUCAUGGCCCUUAUGGGUAGGGCUUCACACGUCAUACAAUGGUGCAUACAGAGGGAAGCGAAGCUGUGAAGUGGAGCCAAUCUCAGAAAGUGCAUCGUAGUCCGGAUUGGAGUCUGCAACUCGACUCCAUGAAGUUGGAAUCGCUAGUAAUCGCGGAUCAGCAUGUCGCGGUGAAUACGUUCCCGGGUCUUGUACACACCGCCCGU